AAUGGGGUUUACCGAAGCUGUGACUUACAUUGGUGUUAUGGAACAUUAAGAGGCCAACUCCUGUAGCCCGGAAGGACACCAGUGGAGGGAUAAAGACACAAAUACAACUACAAAACUUUCUAGGCAAAAUUUUUCAAGCCUAAAAGAAAUUUAGAACCGUAUUCUAGGGUCUACGUUCUCCUUUGCUUUAUUGAUGGCUGGUAAUUUUUGUAUAAAAUAAGGAUUUGGGACAUUAUCAUUAGAAGUAGGUAUACAAUAUUUAUAUUGUUAUAUUCACGCUUUAGCUGGGCCCACUUUGUUGCCAAUAUCAUUACAAAAAUAUAAAAUUAUAAUUAAUAAUUUUUAUAAUUAUAAUUUUAUAAUUAUAAUUAUAAAAUUAGAAAACAGAAUUUUUGAGUACACAUUCAGGAAUAUAUAUAAAGUCCUCUUUCAAAGAAUGUACAAUAAGAAAAUGUAAUACAAUAUUCAUUCAAUUUAACGUCUGGAGGGAAAAUAUUGGACUUUAGGAAACAGAGAAAACCUAGGAACUUGAAUUGUAUGUCACAGGAAUGGACGUGGAAGUGAAAUUAUUAUCCAGAAUAUUCUCCUCCACACCAUGUUCCUAGAUCUUUUUUACCCAUGCCAAGCCCCUGACCAACAUUCUCUAUUCCGAACAUGUAAGUACUAAUGAAGCAAAGAGAAGUCUCUAGCUUUAAAGAUAUAUAAUAUGUAAAGGUUUCCAGUAUGUCACAGGAGACACUCUUGGAAAGGGCACCCUCAAAUCUGGUCCAUGGGAAAGUUCAGUGAGUCUUGGGUACGUAUUGAGUGGGAUUGCAGAAGUAGUAGCCUUUAUCUGAGCCUUCCACACAUGGGAAUCAGGUGCUGCGAUCUUCUUAGAAUCAUCUGGACUUCCCUGCUUGAUAUGGUUCCUGGAAGUCAGAGCGUUUAUGUAAUCAAUUUCUUCAAUACAAAAGCCAGUUGUUGGGAAGGGCACAUUUGUUCUUCUCAGAGCUCGUGGCUUUUACUCUUUUUGCUCUGAAGAAAAAGGUUCAAAGAAACAAAGGAAAGAAAAGUAUGGUCUCCUCAGCAGUGUAAACACCUCCAUGCUUUGGAUUCCUAUUGUGUAAUUUGUUUAUAACACUGAUAUCUGGAGGAGAAGAGCUUCUAGUUGAGACUUCAUCAUCUCAGUCUUUCCACUAGUAUUACUCUGAAUACCAUUCUCUGACAGUGACUCUUUAGAUUUCUGAGUCAAUAGGUUUGAUUAGCUGGCAGAUUUCUUUUCUUUCUUUCAUUGUUUUUAUUUUUUAUAAAAUUUUAUUGCUUUUUUAACUGGAUAUUUCUACAUUUGAAUUUCAAAUGUUAUUUCCUUUCCCUGUUUCUUUUCCAUAAUUAGCCUAUACAAUUCUGCUCCCCUUCUUCUAUAACCCACCUUACUGCCCCCUGACAUUGCCUUGAACUUGGAGUCAAACCCAAUGACUUCUCCUUCCAUUGGUGAACCCAAGGCCAUCCUUUGCAACAUAUGCAGUUGGAGCCAUAGUUCUUUCCAUGUCCAGUCUUUGAAUAUUGGUUUAUUACCAGAAAUCUCUGUUGCAUUUGCAUUGUUGUUCUUAUGGUGUUGAAAGCACCUUUAGCUCUUUUAAUCCUUUUUCAAACCCUACCAACAAGAUGUCAAUUUUCAGUUCACUGGCAGCAUAGACUCCUUAGCUUCAUCACUCUUAUCUACAUCUGGUUGCUGAAUGUGUGUGUGUGUGUGUGUGUGUGCGUGCGUGUGUGUGUGUGUGUGUGUGUUUCUGUGUCUGUAGAGCUAAACAAUGAAUUCUCAAAUGAGGAAUAUCAACAUCCUUUGCCAUCAGGUAAAUGGAAAUAAAGAAAAAAAAUCCUGAGUUUCCACAGCACACCAAUCAGAAUGACGAGGAUAUAUUUGGUCCCUUGUACAGCUAUGGUGUUUGGUGGAUUUUUAACAUGGAUUCUGCACUACUAGGUUAAGAUUUUAGAAUCCACAAAUGACAAAGCCAUAUAGACUCCUUCCUAUUCUUAUGAACCUACUGAAGUAGAAGAUUCACUGGACUUCAAGCCACUCCUCUCCCAGCCCAUGUCAUGAACUUUAUGUUUGGACUGAAUAAAGAAUCAUGGUAAAACAUCCAAAACCCUCAAAUCUGGCCAUGGAAACACUGGAAGGUAGAUAUUAGAGAACUGCUAUCUAAUGCCACUGCAGAACCACAUUAUAUAGUCUAUGUUGUCCUUUCCUUUACUAAUGUCAGGUAAUUUUUGGAUAAAAUAAGGAUUUAGGAGUUUAUCAUUUAAGUAGAUACAGAAUAUUUACACUAUUAUAUUCACUUUAGAACUGGGCCCCCUUUUUUCUAAAAUCAGAGCAAAAAAAUGGAAUAGGAUAAUAGAACAUUGGAGUACACAUUCAGCAAUAUAUAUAAAGUCCACUAUCAAGGAAUGUACAAUAAGAAAAUGUAAUAAAAUAUUCACUCAAUUAAAGGUCUGUAGGGAAAAUAUUGGCCUUUAGAAAAGAGAGAUAUCUGAGGAAAUUGAACUAUAGGCCAGAGGAAUGGAACUGGGAAUAAAAUUAUUAUCCAGUAGAAUCUCCUGCACUCCAUAUUCCUAGAUCUUAGAGACCCAAGCCAUGCCUCUGGCUAACUUUCCCCAUUCAGAGCAUGUGACCAUUAGUGGAGCAGAGAUAAGUCUCUACCUUAAGAGAGAUUGAGUACAUAAAGGUUUCCAGUGUGUCACAGGAGACAUACCUGGAAAGGACACCUUCGAAUCUGGUAAAUGUAAGGAAAGCUGUUUAGCAUGUAGGAGAUGGCCGUUCUCAGUGACAUCAUAAAUAGGACCUCCGUGACAAAUUUGUUGUAACUAGGAGAGCCCUAGCUUCUUCUGUGAUGUAACAAUUACUGUCCUGACAGGAACUGCCUCUCACAUAUUCCCUCAGUAACUCUCCGGUUUGCUAAUUGGCCACUAAUUCAGAGUAAACAGCCAUUUGGGAGUGAGAACAAAAAGGAUAAAGAGAUCAGAGAUGGGGAGAAAGAAGCUGACCUUCUGUCCUUGUAUGAAAAAAAAAGGAAAAAUAAGUGGUACUUUGAAAAGUUCAGGGAGCCCUUGGAAGGGUUGGAGUGGUAUCACUGAAGAGAUAGACUUGAUCUGAGACUUACACAUAUGGGAAUCAAGAGCUGGAAGCUUCACAGAAGCAUCUGGACUUCCCUGUUCUUAUGGUUCCUGGAUGUCAAAGAAGAAAAAGGUCCUAAGGAAGGAGGUAAAGACAAGUAUUGGGUCCUCAGGUCAGAGUAAACUCCUCCAAGCUUUGGAUACCUAUAGUGCAUUUUGUGUCUGACACGGAUAUCUCGGAGAAAGAAGUGCUUCUAGUUGAGACUUCAUCAUCUUUGUCUUACUACAAGUAUUACUCUGAAUACCAAUUUAGAUUUCUGAGUAAAUAACUGUGAUUAGUU